AAAGGCCUAUAUAUCUGAAAACACGACAUCUUACCCGUAAUUGAUAGAGUAAAUAACUUAUUUUUCUAAAAACACCGUAUAUUUCUGGUAAGUCAUACUGUGAAAUGCUUAUAUAGCUCAUAACGCAACAUCUUACCCGUAAUUUAUUGAGUAAAUAACUUAUUUUUCAAAAAACAUCAUAUCUUACUGGUAAAUUUUAGUGUAAAAUACCUAUAUAUCUGAGAACACAACAUCUCAU
rnacentral:lncRNA from 1 species